UAUAAUGUGUAUUGUAGUUGUUCCAAUUCUGUUAACAGCUCUAAUUUUCACCAUUUUCUGAUGGUAUCAUAGGUUUGUACAAAUUAAUGCAACACAUAGCAAUGAAAUUGAAUGCGUACAAGAUAACUCUUUCAUUCAGAAAAACUCCUUGGCAUCUAUGGAACCAUUGCUGGGUGGAAAAAAUGUGUCUUUCUGGCUGAUGUAAAUUUUAGUUUUGGCAGUAAAAUGCCUUAUACUCAAAUGGCAGUUCAGUAAUGCUAGGAUGGAGGGAAAGCAUAAAGAAAUCAGACCUAAGCACACAAGGAAGUGGAAAGAGAGCGACACUCGUGGCUGGAAAGGUUGGAAUAGUGUAUGUCCCAGCCCAGCCUAAAACUUUCUUGGAAGAGGUCCUUGUAAAUGAGCAAUCUUCAUCCGACAGGGUGUUUUUCAGCGCAGUUUCUACUGAGAAAGAGCACAGCUCUCAUCUGUUUUGCUACUGAGCCAUCACUUGAGAGACUGGACCAGCAGAAAGGGCUUUUCGUGGCCCUGUGAAGACUGAUGAAAUGAGAAGGAUGAAGACCCAAACCGCUGUCCAUCUGAUGUGGCUUCUGAUUUUAGAGCUGCAGUUUGCUUCAUUUACCAAAGGCCUGAAUCAAUUUAUAGUUCCUCAGAAUCUGACCUCGGAGACCGGAAAAACUGUCACCUUUGAAUGUGGUGUCGGUGGAUUGAAUGGGCAAAAAAUCUGGUUUUACAUUAUGGGUCCAAAGGUCAAUGAUUCUAUGGCAUGUCCAGGAGACAAAACCAAAUACUUACCUGCUCAGUCAAUGAAAUCUUACUGUCAUACAAAAUCUAGUGGAGACGUAGCUGCUUGGGAAGUCGCAGGAACAUCAGAAGACGAUAAUGGCACUAUUUUUUUGUGCAAGGUCAAUGGUUUAGAUGACAAAAUCGGACACCUUUAUGUGUACGGUAUGUUACUAGCAAUUAAGUGUGUGUGUGUGUGUGUGUGUGUGUGUGUGUGUGUGUGUGUGUGUGUGAAUGUGAACAGACACUUGUCUUCAUGUCUCUCUCUCUCUGUGUUCCUUUUAGCGAAUGAUUCUUACUAUGCAAAGCUCAUUGGAUACGUGAUUGGAGGAUUUUUAGCUGCCCUCAUUACCAUAGUUGUGGCUUAUGUCCUGUUGAAAAGAUCAGAGAAAGUACAGCAUUGCUUCAGGUCGGUGGGAGGAAUCCAAGAUGACAUGCAAUCGGCACAAUCUAAGCAAUAUUGAAACCCCUCUCAUGCUCCUUAUGAUCUGAUAAUUAUAAUUAUAAUAUAGCACACACACCAUAAUAUAAUAUAUGUAAUAUACAGCAUACAAUUAGUUUCUUUAGAUUUGAAAGAAGGCCUGUGUUUCUCAGGUUUCAGUCUUGUCCAGUAGAGGGCGUCUUCACUUCUCUGGUCAUAACCAUUAAUGUUUUUGUUUCUAAUGUUCUUGGUUCAAAAUCUUUGUUUAUUAGUUGUUGUUGUUUUUUUUUUUUUGGUCAUGGAGAAACAUUUUUAUUAACUAUCAUAACUGUAUUUCCAUUUCUAACCCUAACUUUCACUAAAGUAAGAGGGAUUUUGAUCCAAGAAUAUGUUGGCUAAUCCAAUUUAAUCAUCAAGCAACUCCACCUAUUAAUAAUGUAUAUCUUACAAAUACAAACACUGGAACAUUUAAUCGAGGAUCUGCUGUUUAAUGAAUAGUCAAGUACUCUGUGUCAUUGUCAUGCUGUUUACAAUAUACAUUUUAUUUAGUUAGCUAUUUUUUAUUUUCAAUUCAAUGUAAAUUGCGCACAAAUUUGAUUGAUUUAAUUUCAUUUUAUACUGCUUUAAGUGGCUAAAUGACAAAAUUCACAGCACACAAACUGAGGGUAGCGUUGAGUAGAUCAAUAGUAGAUGGGUCAAUAUUGACACAGGUGGUUCACUGCACCCUGGAACGGCCGUGUUUCUAUUCUACUAUGCUAUCAAUCCAUGAGCAUUUAGUUUUAAAGUUUGGCUCAGAAAAUGUGCGUUUAAGCCUGUUUUGAAGCUUUCACUAUUUGCAUAUGUGCUCCAGCAUUUGUAAACACUCAAGAGGUAACAUUACAGCACACAACAACCAUCUGCUUUAGCUCACAGUCAGAUUUAAGUUUCAUGCUGAAUGAUAUUUUCACCAUAUGCUUAUAUCAGUUAAAAUUUUAAACAUUAUUGUAAACAUCUGAAAUGUAGAUGAGAACAUUUCAAAUCAGAUUAGACAGUCAAAUCUAAAACAUUUAUUUUGUUAUUUUUGUUUUAAUUUUGCCUUUAUUUUAAUGCUUUGUUUUCUUUAGAGACUCAAACACAUAAAAAAUAAUCAGAGUAAUUUAAUUAACCUAUUAUUUUCAUUUCAAAUUCUUGUAAUAUGUUCAACUGACAUCUGUCAAAAACAGAUAUUAUUGAGGCUUUUACUCUCUGUUUUAUCAGCAUGUACUUUUCAUGAAGGUGAUUAUCUUGUAUAGAGACUUUUAUUUGGGGUCAGUUUGACCCCAGUAAAAAUAUAUUUUAGAAUAAUCCAAUAAAACAAAUAGAAAUCAACA
ensembl:lncRNA